UUUCACUAUAUUUAAUAUAUUUAGAUCUAAAUAGUUAUAUACCCUUUUUGUGUGUAAUACGCUUCCCGCUCAUUAAUAGAUAUGAUAAUUUUACGUAAUUAAUGUUAGUGGUAACUCGAAUAUGAAAAUUUCAUGGAAAGGUUUUGUGUUUUGUUUUUCAGUGGUUUAUGUGACUACGAUAAUUGCUGUGUACAAGUUUUACUUUGAGAGUAGUGGGCAGGGCCAUGAAGUCGAGGCAAGUUGUGAGGCAAAACCUUUAAAAACCAGAAAAAUAUUUACUGGUGCUGCUCUGCUGGACAAGACUACACUUAGUCAGAAUGUUAGAGCUCCAUUUGCAGUGCAUCUCUCCCAUGCUGCAGUUGUGAACCAGUCAUCACCAUCCUCCCAUACAGUGGAAAUUUGGAGUAAAGCAUCUCUUGGAAACUACCUCUGGAAACACAUUUUGAAUGGGGAAAUACAAGUGCUUCAGAAUGGACUUGUUGAGUAUGGAGAACUGACAUUAAAAAAUAUUAUUAUUAAAUACCGCACAGGGCCUGGCAUCAUUCAGACUACGGUUCCUAGUGAUGUGAGAUACUUAGUUAUUGCACUGAAUGGUCGUUCUGCAGAUAAAAUCACCACUGCAAAAUCUUGGUUGAACUAUUUACAUCAGUAUAGAAACCUACGUGGUGUUAUUGUGGUUUUGCUUGGCGAUGAAGCCUGCAACAACAAUUGGUUAUUGCCAUAUAUGCAGUCCAGAGGAGGUGCUGUGAACGCAGCAUUUAUUGUUUAUGAUUCAUCAUUGGUUGAUAAUGAAGAAAUUUUCCAGUGGCCUUUGGGUGUAGCUGUGUAUAGAAAAUUCCCAAAUACCAGUCCUAAAGAUGUUGAUGUGUCAUUAUCUCGACCAUAUUUGUGCAACUUCUUGGGAACUGUCUAUAAACACUCAUCUCGUGAAAAACUUAUAGAGGUUUUGAAUUCAUCAAGUUUUAAUGGAAAAUGUAUGGUUCGUGGUCGUAAAAUAUGGCAGCCUCUGGAGACUGAAGAAAGCCUUGGACUGUACAUUGGAUCUCUGCUAAAGUCAGAUCUGACUCUUAGUCCAGUUGGAAUGAACACCGAAUGCUACAGAAUUUAUGAGGCUUUGUCUCUUGGUAGUAUUCCCGUAAUAGAAGAUAAAGUUACACCUGGAAUUUGUGAUGGCACAUCAUCAAAUUCACCAUUACGGCUUUUGAAGUCCCAUUAUGCACCUGUGAUAUUUUUAAAAAAUUGGCAUGAAUUGCCAGCUGUUCUUAGUCAGGAAAUGCAACUUACAUUAGAUGAAAAAGUAGAGAGGAGAAGAGCUGUGAUAGAAUGGUAUAAAAAUUUUAAACAGACAAUGAAGAUCAAAUUUAUUAAUGUUCUUAACAUGAAGUUCUUUCCAAAUAACUGAUCUCAAAACCAAUUACAGUAUAUAUAUUUUUUGAAAUGUCUGAAAGUAACCUUUCUUCCCAGCAGUCAUAAGAGCAUAUAUAGAAUGUUUAAGAAUUUGUAGUACAUACGUUAGGGAGUGAUAGCAACUAGACAAGCACAAGUCACCAUACAAUGUAUGCUUGGAACUCAAUCGAUCUAGUGCUAGAGAGCUCUUUCCAGCAAACUAUUUAAAAGUGCAGUUCACAAAAACUGUCCUCAUUUCUGCUGUAGAUCUCUUACAAGAUAAAUGUGUACAUGAAUAAAGAGAAGGCUAACAUGCAUUACAUGAUCGGGCUUAUAGAUGGCAAUGCAAGGAAAGCACAAAGGUUGUAACAAGAACGUUUCGUAACAAGGUGCGUGCCAGAUGCAAGAACUUUUAGCAAUCACACCAAAUCUGUACGAAGGGGCUCAUCUGUAAAUUACAGAAGGAAUUUCAGGCAUACAAGGUGUGUGAAUUGUCAUAGUCUCUUUCUGUCUCAUUUAUAACUGAGCAUGUACAUCCCUCUAGUGCUUCUUUAUUUUAGUUCAGAGCAUAUAUUGUCUCAUGAUUUGUGCUUGUCUAGUUAUGUUCUAGCACCCUCUAAUAAAUGUACCACAAAUUUUUUUACUUGCAGUAUAUAAAUUGAGGUAAUUUACGGAUAAAUUAUGUUGUUGAUGAUAAAGAUUGUAGGCUUUCACGGCAAUUGUCUUAAGUUGCUUGGCUUCUGGGUUAUAGCCGCGUCUGAGGUAAAUACAUCACUGAUGUUUCGGUCGACAUUGCAUUCAAUUUUCAUCAGGGUAGAGUUACCUACUGAGGUUAUUACAAGGUCUCUUGCCAUUUUAAUACUCUUGCCUGAGAGGGGAGAUUUUCCCUAUUGGCCCAAAGCUGCAACCAAUCAGGAAACACUCCCCUUUCAGGCAAGAGUAUUAAAAAGGCAAGAGACCUUAUAAUAAACCUCAGUAGGUAACUCUACCUUGAUGUUGGGUGAAUGCAAUGUCGACGGAAACUUCUGUGAUAUAUUUACCUCAGACGCGGCUUUAACCCAGAAGCCAAGCAACUGUGUUGUUAAUGAGAGAUAAUUUUUGUAGUUUGUAAGUCUAAGUUAAGUGGUUCUCUGUAAAGUUAAAUAUUCUUCUGUUGAUUGUAUUUAUGUAUUUUUUCAAUCAAAUAAUUUAAUUUAAAAUAUUACAUAUCUUAAGAGUUUUCUUUCAUAUAGUGUUACAAACUGUCUGUGAUAAAGAUUUUUAUUGCUUUCAAUAUUGACACAAUGAAAUGUUUUUUUUUAUUUAUAAAUUACGAUGAAAUGUCCAUACAAUUUGCUGACUGGAAGAAAAUGUGUGUGCAUGAGGUUGCUCCUAAAUAUGCUGGCUUGUGACAUGAAAAAUUAAAAAGUAUUGGAUAUAAGAAUCUAUAAAAAAAAUUUUUUUGUGUUUAUUACCAGACAUGCUUAUUCCUUGUUCUUACCCACCAUGUUGGAGUUUUAAUAUUUUGAAAGUUAACAGAUUUGUAGGUAGUAAUAUUAAAAAAUGUGACUACACAAGAUUAAUUGCAUUAGUACUUGACUUUGGAAACACAGAAGCAAAGUUUCAUCAAUAUUGUAAAACAAAAAAUUUUAAUUGUGAAUAUGUACUUGCUUGAUAUUUUAUGAACAGCAGAUUAUGUUUAGCAUACAUCUGACAGAAAAAUUUGCAACAACAAACAACUAUUCUUCCAUAUUGCAAAACUGUAUGUGAUAUAAGAUUUAUGUAACCCCAGUCAUUUUAUGACAGCGAAAACUUUUGCAAUGGUUGUAGAACUUUGUUCAGUUAAACUUUAUUGAGAUGUUAAGUGUUGUCUUUUAAAUACUUUGUUUUCAGUAAAUUAUUUGUUCAGUUUCAUAUUCAAAGGUGUGUACUAUCCCCAGGUAUUAUCUAUGUAUUCAAUUAAUAUUUUUUGUUACGAACUUGCAGCUUAUGUUUUUCGAAUUCAGACUCAAUGAGUAUAGUGAAACAUCCACUGGAAUUGCCCUAAAACAAAAAUACUUUCAUGAAAAUGUAAUAAUGUAGCAUGGAAAUUGAGGCAAAACCUUAAGAAUAAAGUAGGUAAGUUAGCCAGCAUUAUUUGAUUAUUUUGACACAGUUUCUUUUUUAGUAGAAUUGAAUUUACAUGUACCAUCUGAUUAUUCUAAACCUGCAUAUAAAAAUAAUAUACAAUAUUGCCUUUUACAAAUCCAUAGCAAUUUUGUAUGGUUCCUAGAUUAUAACAUAUUUUGUAUCCAACAUAUUUUGUAAAAUUGUUUUAUAAUGAGUAAUGAUUAGUUAAUCAUGAGAUUUACAAGUGAACUCCAAGAAGUCUGGUAUGCCAGAGUUCAUCAUUGUGUUGCUAACCACCCUGUAAAAUGAAUCAAGGAUUUAUUUAUUGAUGUGACAAAUAUGGAGGCCUUAUUUCAAUGGCGGUACACCUCCAAUUUGAUUCAUUUUGUCAUUCAUGGUAAUUUAUAUUGAUAUAUUUAAAUAUUAACUUUGGUUAUCUAGUAAUUGUAGUGCUAGUUGUUGGCAGAAGUAAGUUGGAGGUGCACCACUUUUAAAAUUAAACACAAAGACUUGUAUGAAUAUAAAAGGGUGGAUAGCACAAAUUUUCUUACCACUUUUGUAAAAAGCCUUCAUAUAAAUGCUACAUUUGUUGAUUUUGAAAGGUGUAAUUGAGGCCUGUUAUCUUUCAAAAUAAACAGUUUUAGGUCUUGGAUUGUGAUUCAGAUGGGCUAUUGGUGCUAAAAUUAUUAAUCUUCUGUUUUCUACUUAUUGUAACAAUUUUCCGUGUGAACUGUUAGUAAUUAUGUAAGAUAAACAAGCAUAAAUUAUACUUCUAGGAGAGAGAGUUGUUGCGGUAGCUUAAUGCUUCUACUCGUAUUUCAUCAGCUUGCCUAAAAUCAUGUUAAACAUGAAGUGUACAUAUUAUAGAAGUGCUAUUGCCUCGUUUGGCUAUCUUAAAUUUGUGGGUACCUGUGUGUUGUGUUGCUUGUUUGGUAAUUUGACAUAUGUGUCUGUGGUAAUUUGUAGUUUCCAGGAUUUACAUAAAUGCAAUUAAACAUAAGUACAAAUUUUUGCAAUAUUUGGGUGCUGCUUCAUGUUAAUAGCAGUAAAAAAAGUCAUGCAAGUUUUCAUAAUUAUGAUCAUUUGCAUGCAUUUUUUCAGUUCCAAAAUCACAUUGACUAAACAUCUGGUGACAAUGUUUGCGACCAAACAACAAAUAUGCACACGAAAAUGCUUGGAUAAUUUGGGAGAAGACAACUGCCUGGAUGUGUUUGUACGAUUUUACGAUCUACCAAGUAAAAAUGCGCAAGAUUUGUUUCUACAAGUCUUGAUAGACGUUGAACAAGUUAAACAGAGGCGACCACAAGACAAAGAUAAUCCCAAAAUUUUGAAAGGUGCUACAUUUUUUAUUUUAUUUUAAUUUUUUAAAAUGCACUCCGUUUAGUCCCAAAUUAGGGACAUGGAGCAAGUUAAAUACAAUUUAAUACAAUAGAAGUUAAAUAUAAAUCAACAAUACAAAUCAUACAAUCAUAUUACAAAUGGUUCAAAUAAUAAAAAUGAACGGUAUAUUAACCUUUAUCAGUUAUAAAAGAAAUAAAUAAUAAAGUACACACACACACACACAGUAGGAUUAUAAUACAAUCAACACCAAGCUAUAAUUAUGCAGAAAUUGGAAUUAAAUUUAUACAUACUAAUAUUGGUGAUCCAAAUAUUUAAUAAUAGUAUAAAAGGUAUGGGUAUGGAGAAAUUCCUUUAAUUUUUUUUUUAAAUAACAUACUGUUCUGAAAACAGAAAAUUUGAAGAUCUUUGGGCAAUUUAUUAAAUAAUUUAACAGCUAUACACUCUAUGCCUUUUUGAGAAGCCGACAGUGACGAAAAUUUAACAUGAACAUUAUUUUUUGAUCUUGUGCUAUACUCAUGAAUUUGACAAUUUAAUACAAACUUAUCCUUAUGAUUUGAUACGUAAACCAAAACAUCUAAAAUAUACUGAGAUUGUAAAGGAUGAAUUUUUAGAUAUGUAAAUAGAGGUCUACAAGAUUCUAAUUUCUUUUUAUAACACAUGAUCCUUAUUGCUUUUUUCUGUAAUAUAAAAACCUUACGGCUAUCAACAGAAUUUCCCCAAUACAUAAGACCAAACUUCAUUAAGGAAUGAAAAUAGGCAAAAUAGACUUUCCUUAAAGUAGCCUGUGAUACUAAUGAAGACAAGUAUCUGAAUGUAAAAAUUGCUGAACUUAGUUUUUUAGAAAUGAUAGAAAUAUGCGCUUUCCAGUUUAACCUUGUAUCUAAAGUUAAGCCAAGAAAUUUAGUUAGUCUUACAUUAUUAACAUUAGCAUGAUUAUCAUCAUUUACUGCAAUAUGUUCAUUUAUCUGAUCAUUAUUAUUACCUAAUGAAAACUCCAAAUAAUUAGUUUUAUCAUAAUUCAAAGUUAAUUUAUUUAUAGCAAACCACUCUUUAAGUUGUAAGAGUGUUCUGUCUCUAUUUAGCAAUAACUGAUUAUAAGAAUUCAUUUUAAUUAAGAUACUAGUAUCAUCAGCAAAAUGGAUAGGGGUAGUUCCAGGUCCAAGACCAUAAGGAAGAUCAUUAAUAAAUACAAGGAACAACAAAGGUCCCAAAAUAGAGCCUUGUGGAACACCAUGCUUUAUAUAUUCUGCAUUAGAAAAAAUAUGGUUUUGUGACUUAUUAUUAUAUAUAGAAACCUGUUGUUUACGAUUUGAUAAGUAAGAAUUGUUUAUUUAUUCUUUACCUGUUAUGCCAUAGAAAUGAAACUUAUUUAAAAGAAUCUCAUGGUUAAUACAAGUAGGAGUGGCAGGCUGUUACUGGAACGAUGUAAACAUUUAAAUGUAAACAUUGAAAUGUAAACAUUGCGCCAGUACCAGCCUGGGGGCCGCCAUCUUGUUUCAUGGAGGCCGCCAUCUUGUCUCGUGGGGGCCGCCAUUGUUGUUGACAUUGGCUACCAGGGCGCGCCACCGUCGCAGCCACUGGGGGCCGCCAUCUUAGUUCAGCCUUUAGUUACCGGAGCGCGCCACCGUCGCUCCGAAGGCUGGAAUUGUAUACAAAAAAUCCUGGGCGGCGUGUGGAUUCGAUCCGUGGGACGCAGCAACGUCGUGGUUAGAAGGCAGACGCCUUGACCACUAGACCACGAGAUCAAAUGAGGAGAGUAGAAUUAAAUAACGUACAUAUGCCGCCAUGUCUUUAAAUUUAAAAAAAUAUGCUUAAUACAAACGCCGCCAUAUCUAAUUUCCAACCGCCAUGUUUAAAUUUCGAAAAGCAAAUGCCGCAACCCCCACCAUUAUGCUUAAGGUGCCAUGUUGUAUGCUUAAAACCCCCGCCAUACUAGCUAUGCCUAUGCCACCAUGAUGUAAGCUUAAAACACACACACUCACCCCAAGUAUGCCUAAAAGAAACCCCCGCCAUACUAGCUAUGCCUAAACCGCCAUAUUUAAAUUUCGAUUAGAAAUAAAAUAUUGCUAUGCUUAAAUUUAAAAAAAAAAAUACCGCCAUGAUGUAUGCCUAAAGCAAACCCCCACCAUUAUGCUUAAACCGCCAUAUUUUAAUUUGGAAAAGAAAUAAAAUACCGCCAUGUUUAAAUUUCGAAAAGCAAAUACCGCAACCCCAACACCCAAAGUAUGUUUAAAACAAACACCACCAUACUAGCCAUGACUAAAUGCCUGGGAGAAACAUAACCUCAAAAAGGCGCCAUACUAGCUAUGUCUACCCCACCCCCCACCACUAGUAUGCUUAAAACAAACACCACCAUACUAGCUAUGACUAAAUACCCGGAGCAACAUAACCUCAAAAAGGCACCAUACUAGCUAUGUCUACCCCACUCCCACCACCAGUAUGCUUAAAAAAACAAACACCGACUAAAUACCUGAGAGUAACAUAACCUCAAAAAUCCCGCGCAGAGAGAGCGAGAUGUUGUCCGCUGGAGCGUCACUCAUAAACUGCCCAAUUAUAAUCCCCACAUCAUAUUAUAAGCAUAAUAAUAUCUUUAAAAAUAACACAUUGUGUGGAAAUGCUUUAGCGGUACAAGCAUAGUCAAAAUAAGCAUAGUUAAAAAAAUGUAGGACCUCUAUUGUGGUAGAAUACUUUCAAAUAGUAAUAAGCAUUUUUAAAAAAAAAAUGUAUUAAGCAUAGUUAAAAAAGUAUUAGGCAUAGUUAGGACAAAGACUAUUAUUUUACGUCGAGUAAAAUAAGCGUUGUACAAACACCGUGCUGAGAGCCUUGCUCGUGUGCCGGCGAGCAGGAAUGUAUUAAGCAUAGUUAGGACCCUUAAAGUUAACACGUAGCGUUAAGUAAUUAAAAAUAAAACUUAGAUGCGGCACGAUCGACAUAAGUUACCGAUGUAAUAAUAAAAAAAAUAGCGCUCUGCGACAUGUACCAAUAAGCAUACAUAAAAAAACUCACCGGAACGCACCCCACCUACCCCGGCGACGUGUAACAAAUAAAAACGCAGACGAAAAGAUAUAUUAAAAAAUAGUAACACCUAUGUAUGCCGUAUAGAGUGCAACCCGCACAACCGACAGCGUUUAACGAUAAGUAAACUUAUAAAAUAUAUUACAAAGCGGGAGCGGCCCGCUCACGAAUAUGUGUUAAUUAUAUGUUAAUUUGUUAAAGGAAAUAAAUUUAUUUUAAGAAUUUAUUAUUACAACUUUUUAAUUAUUUUAAAUCUAUGUUGAUUUGUUGAUUUACUAUCAAAAACUUAUGGUUAUACGUGGAUUCAUUUUAUAGUAAAAAUUAAUAUAUUUAUUUGACAUUAUUUUAAUGUUUUAUCUCACAUUAUUUCACUACCAUCGACCGACAAAUACUACGUUUUUGUUUUCAUCAUUUACUUUGAGAUUUUUUUUUUUUCUUUAGGGUUCUUUAUAAAAGAUGUUGUAAAAUUGCCGCCACUACGUAAUGAUUUUCCAGAGUUGACACACAGACUUGAAGAGCGUAUUGCUUCCAUUACUCUAAAAAAAAAGUUUUUAACCAAUGUGUUUGCUCGUGUUAGCACUAUCGUUCUAUAUUUAGAUCACUUGUAAUUGUGUUUAAGCGGAGGUAUUUGCCUUUUGCUCGGGGUUCGUAUCCCAUCCGGUGGGUACGAGUGGUUAGUUCUGUGUGUAAAUGUGGCGGACGUUGCUGUGAGCCUGCGAGUGUUCUCGAGUUGCUCUCGUUCCCCUCUCAAAAGCGGAAUGUAGUUGACGUUACAAUGCAUCGGUGUGGGGGUUAUCUCUAAGUUAAUUGUAUCAAUCGUGGAAUUUCACAACCAGUAUAUAGAGUGAAUAAGAGAGACAAAGAGAGAAAGAGAGAGGGAGAUAUGAAGAGAGAGGUUUUGUAGGUUUUCAUUAAUGGUUUUACAAUUGUGAGUUAGCGAACAUACUUUUUAAUAGUUGUAAUUAGAUUUUUUUUUAAAUACACGUAAUUUUAUCCUCCUAAUUUUGCUACACAACGAUUAUACACUAAAAGAUUCCUGUGUGGUUAAAAAAAGUUAAUUAUAUAUAUUUUUUUCUUAAUGCAUGUGACUGUAAAGAUGAAAUUGAUAGUACUAUCUUCUUUCCACCCAAUGGUGCUAUGAUGCAUAUUUGUCUGUGUGUUCGCUAGCUUUUUUAUAUUUAUUUUUUUCUAGUUCAAUUGUGCUUACUUUCAUAUACAUAGAAUGGUUGGGAUGUAAUGUUAUUUUCUGUUUCAUUGGGUUAGUAUUGAAAGGGUACUUUGAUAAAUAUGUUUUGAAUUUUGGGGGGUUGUAUAGUACUUAUCUAUCAUUCAUGCAUAUAUUCAUGUGUCAUUGUAUCUCAGUGAACUUAUAUUUUGUGGAAUAUGAGUGUAAAUUGGCUAGUGCGAUUUCUUACAUUGUCAGAGCUGCCAACCAUUACGGAUUUUCCGUAAUUAUUACGGAUUUUAACCCCGAAUUACGGAAUUACGGAACAUCGCUGGUUUAUUACGGAAACGAGGCUUUGUGCUGCAUGGUAACGGAGAAAAUUCCGUUUCUGCUGUGCUUGUUUCGUGAACGCAGUUUGAAUACAUCGCUUGGUUGCACAAAUAACGGAACUAGUAAGUGUGCGCAUGUACGAUGUACUGUCGAAAUAAGUAAAUUAAUUCUCGUGUUUUCAAAUAAUAAUGGGAUGGUAUUACGUCCGUUGUACGAUACAACUAAUACAUAUUCUCGGACUUAUCGUUUGAAGGCUACUUAAAUCACGAUAAUUUUUGUACGGUACUUUGGCUAACCUGUGUUGUGUUCAUUUAUUUCUUGAAAGCCAUUUUUUUCAUCAUAGUGUUUUUGUCGUGUCUACAGACGUGAAUUUUUUUAAUGUUUUUCGAUAGUGUUUUCUUCAGUGCCGGUUUUAGAAAUGAAGCAUGUGACAGAAUAAUGUGUAUCUAGGAAAAAAAAAAAAAAAAACACGCAAGUCUUCAGAACUUUCGACUUAAAUAUUCAAAAGAAUGGCCAUGCUUGUAGUUUUCAAAUGUUAGGAACGCCACGGUUUUGUAAUGUAUGCACGUGUGACUUUUCGAUUGCACAUGGUGGAAGGGAUGACUGUAGACGGCUUAUUGAAUCAAAGAAACAUGCAGAACAUUUUAAAGCCGUGACGAGCAAUAAAUCUAUAUCUUCGUUUUUUCGCUACAUCUGAAGAAACGAAAGUAACGAACGCAGUUAUUGUUUACAAGUCCUUGUGUUUGUCUUGUUGUUUGUUUACAUGACAUUUCUUAUCCAACCAGGAUAAAAAAAAAAGCAAAUAAAAAGACAGUUGCUUUAAAGUUUAACUUUGAAUACUUUGAAUUGAAGAUUCCAAAUAUCCAGUAAAAUUAUUAAUAUUUCUUACAUAUUCAGAUGAUUGUAUUGUUCAAAUAGAUUUUUUUUAUUCAUUAAUUUGCAUUGUAUUCAUAUUUUUCUUUUUCUUUUGCAUAUUAUUCUCCUUGUUAAAUCUUGAGAGUGUCUUAUAAUGCCACAGGGAAAAUUUAUCGUGCAUGAUUUACGCAUACUUUUUUCAUAUACCUAAUUGCCAUUACUGAUGGGUGUGAUUUGAGGUUGGCAGCUCUGCAUUGUAUAUAUUUAAGGUUUAGGAAUAGCUAAUAUUAUGUUACCAAGUUGUGUUCCGGCCUGUUUUCACUUAAACUAUGAGAAUGCUAGCCUGAUUUAACGUAUAUCAUUGAUUGUUUUAAUUGAGUCUUUUACAAUAAUUACAUAUUGGUUGCGCACUGGCAACCCCUUCUGUCUGUGAAGGACACGUCUGGCAACUCAUGCUGGGUUGCGGUGGCCGGCAGAGUUUAAGGUCUUUAUAUCAAUCCUUUUUCUUGGCUGCUUCAUUUUUAUUUCACGGAUGGGUUUUUGAACGUGAUGGAGAAUAUUCUAUUAAGUGUGUUGUGUUUAGCUACUAUCGGUGCUGCUGUUUAUAUAUUUUAGGUUCUCGUUGUUAAUCAAUGUAAAUUUAAAUUUAAAAUAGGUAUAAAGGUUCCAAACAUGAUGGUGGAAACAUCCUGGAAGUUGUGUGUGUGUGUUACGAUCUAACCCUGUGUUUCGAUACAUAUGUGGGACAAUGUGUGCUACUGCAAUGGUUAUCAUCCUUUAUCCGCGAGGGAAUUGGUCUUUGAAGCUUCAUCUUACUGAUCUAUUUGCAUUUUUUCACCUUUCUGUGUUUGUAAUGUCUGAACUUUGUUUUUUUUUUUUUUUUUGAAGUGAUUCCAUAUUAUUGGUACAUUGGUUUGCUUUUCAAUUGUAUAUUUAUUACUAUAUGCUUCUGGAUAACCUAUCUCAUUGUUAAUUGUAUUUUUGAAAUAUUUCUGUUUGUAACCACUGGAUGUUUUAUUAUUACUUCAUUACGUGUACAGGGAACUACUGGUGACAUCUUUGAUCAUGGCAGUAUGGUUCUAGAUAUACGACAUACGCGAGGUUUUUUUAUAUGUUUCGUAUUUAAAUUGUUAUAAUUGUAUGGUUGGUAUCUAAAUAUAUAAUUCCGUAUUUAUCGUUUCUUGUCACUACAUAGCACUUUUAAGAGCAAACAUCAAAUUCCUUAAACUAAUCCAUUUUUUCUCACAUUGUCUGCGAACAUACAUAAUUACUUAAAAUUAUUUGUGCGAACAAGGUGGGUCUCUAGAGUUCGCAAUUCCUUUCAAUCUACUUAAUUAUAAUGCGGAAUCUCUCUUCCAUAUGGGUUUUUGAACUUAGGUUUCGUUUAGGUGAACAAAAAAAAAAAAACCUUUUUCUUUUAGAUGAUGAAUUUAAUUUAUUUGGGAUGUGACAUUUAGUAUAGGAAACGUGUUUCGUCGCACACGUAUAUGUGGCUUCAUUAUACAGGGUGGCCAUUCACCGGGAAAACCGGGAAAACCGGGAUUUAUCAGGGAAAUCACGUUGAUCGGGAAUUAUCAGGGAAAUGUCAGGGAAUUUUUUUAAUAACCGGGAAUUUUUUGUGUCAUGUAUAUUUACGCAGAGCUGCCAACCAUUACGGAUUUUCCGUAAUUAUUACGGAUUUAACACAAUAUUACGGAACUACGGAACAUCGCUGGUUUAUUACGGAAACGAGGCUUUGUGCUGCUGGGUCACGGAAAAAAAAUUCCGUUUCUGGUGUGCGUGUUUCGUGAACGCAGUUCGAAUACAUCACGUGGUUGAGCAGAUAACGGAACUGAUAAAUGUGCGCAUGUACUGUCGAAAUAAGUAGAUUAAUUAUUGUGUUUUGUAAUAGAAAUGGUACGGUAUUACGUCCGUUGUACGAUACAACUAGUACAUAUUCUCGGUCUUUUCGUUUGUUAGCUACUUAUAUCACGAUAAUUUUUGUACGGUACUUUGGCUAACCUGUCUUGUGUUAUUUACUUUCUUGAAAGCCAUUUUUUUUCAUCAAAGUGUUUUUGUCGGGUGUACAGACGUGAAACUAGUUUAUUCAAUAGUGUUGUGUUCUUCAGUGCCGGUUGUAGAAAUGAAGCGUGUGACAGAACAAUGUGUAUCUGUGGCAAAAAAAAAAAAAAAGAACGUUAUUCUUCAGAACUUUCGACCAAACUAUAUAAAAGAAUGGCCAUGCUUGUCAUCUUCAAAUGUUUUGGAACGCCACGCUUUUUUAUGCACGUGUGACUUUUCGAUUGCGCAUGGUGGAAGGGAUGACUGAGGACGGCAUAUUGAAUCAAAGAAACAUGCAGAACAUUUUAAAGCCGUGACGAGCAAUAAAUCUAUAUCGUCGUUUUUCGCUACAUCUGAAGAAACGAAAGUAACAAACGCAGAGUUAUUGUUUACAAGUUUUUUGGUAGAACACAAUUUACCGAUAGCAAUAGCCGAUCAUUCGGGUAAUUUGUAUAGAGCUAUGUUUCCGGACUCAAAUAUUGCACAGAAAUACAGCUGUGCGAGAGCAAAAACAUCUGCCUUAAUAGAGUAUAUGGCUGGUGAAACUAAAUUGAAACUGUUGAAUCUUUAGUAAGUGGACCAUUUGCUUUAGCUACAGAUGGGAGUACUGAUUGUAAUGCAGUGAAGAUUUAUCCAUUAGUUGUUUAAUUUUUAAAUCAAAUACAAGGUAAAAUUUGCACUGUACUGUUAUCCCUUGUUGAGAGUACUAAAACUAAGAAUAUUUCACAACUAGAAAUGUUACAUUUCAAAAAUGAAUUAAAGAACAGUUAUCAAAAGUUGUGUGAAAAAAUGUUUGAGUGCUCGCCACUGAAAUACCCUAUUACAUAAAACAAAACACAGACUGCAGGUCAUUGAACGGGACUCUAUAAUGUAAAGUGACAUAUUUAAAAUGAAUUUGUUAUUUAACGAACUUCCGUAUGUAUAUAAUGAAUAAAACACAGCAGGGUGCUAAAAUAUGAGUAAUCGCUUUCUAUAAUAUUAUAUUUUUUCAUCAAAAGUAUGUUUUUUUUUGUAAUUGUAAAUAUCAGGGAAAUUUUGAAUUUUUAAUCAGGGAAAUCAGGGAAAAAUCAGGGAAUAUUUUUGGUGGCUGUGAGUGGCCACCAUGUUAUAUUCAUUUAGCUUAGUCCUUUAACUUUUACGCGUCUUUAAAGAGUGGUUGUCUUUUUUAAAGUCGGUGUCUAACUCUUUCUAUUUUACAUGUAUGUUAUUAGGGAUUGUGACUAUUACCAUCGAACAUUUUGUGUUGGGGAAGCGAUGUCUGGUCUUUCUGAAUGCGUUUUUCUUACGCUAGGUAAUGUAAUUUUUUAAAUAUAUAUUUCUACUUAAGUGUACUCUCAUACAUAUACGUCAAUAUUUACCUAAUUUUCUGUUCAUUUUAGACUUUUGAAAUUGCUCUUUUUGUUCAUUCUCCUGUAUUGUUUCUUUUAUAUAAUACUUUCAGUUAUGGCGGUUACACCUGUUCUCAUUGGUAUAGGUACAUGUGUCUUGUUAGUACAGCAUCUGUAGUAUAUGGAAUUUAAUUUCUCCUGGCCAUCUCUGUGGGUUUAUGAAGUGUUUGGGUUUGAGUCUUGGGUUGGGCAUCUAGUUGUUGUUUCGAUGUAGGUUGCAAUAUGCCUGUAGGCGUUGUUUGGUUUUUUCAAGUUGACUUGUUAUUUAUUACUGAUAACUAUAUUAUGAUAAUAUUAACGAAUUGUCUAUGUGGGGGUACAAAUUCAAGGAGCGUUUAUGAUGAGGAAUAUACAGUUUUGUUUGUGUAAAUGCUUCAGUUACUUCAAUACUUAUUAUUAGUAUUCUCCUGACACUAUAUUUAUUUUAUAUAGAAAAAAAAAUUGGUUAUUUUAUGUCUGGCAAUAAAUGGAUUAGCACUAGUAGGUAGUACAUAGUUGGUGGGCAUUGAGUAUUCGUAAACCACAUGUUUACUUUUAUGUAAAUAUUAUUUCCUUCUUUACUCCUUGUCACUUGAAAGUCGUUGUCGGGCUUCGUCGUUCACGUUGCUUGGUUUAAAGGCAUGGGUGGUGUAAUUAAUAGUUUGCAAGGCAUCCUUGUUUUACAUAUUUUAUUAUAUUAUUUUAUCCACCAUUACAGCUGGAGGCUUGUGUUCGGAGGACGCUGCGUGUUUGUGUUAUUUCCGUCUGCCCUCAAGCAAUGUGAAAGUUACUAGUGGUCCACCGAGGCGUCUGUCGUGUUCUGGACCAUCGUCAAAGCGAUGUGAUGUUUGCUAUGUCUGUUAUUCUGUAGACGAUUUUGGCUAAGUGGUUAUUAAUAUGAAUCUCCUUGUGUGUUCUUUCACAAACAUUACUGGUGUGUUCUAUUUAGGUUUCGUCGGAAUGGGAUUAUAGUGCUUCCUAUGCUUAAUGGAAUGCAUAGUAGUAGAAUAUAGAUUCUUAUUUAAAACUGAACCAGUAACCUUUUAUUUUACGUCUUGUUAUUAACGCCAGAGCUUCCUAUGCUUAUUGGGAUGUAGUUGUAUAUGUUAUUUUUUUAUUUACCCCGAUAUAUCCUUAUUAUUAUUUACUAGUUUGAAGUCUAUAGUUGGUCUCUGAUUAUUCAUCUACCACUAUAUAGAGAUUGUGUUUUAUCUAGCCUUGAUGGAAAGUUAACAAUAAUCUUAUAAGCAUUCUUACUGUACAACAUGACUCAUAUAAUAUUCCUUUAUGGGUGUCAACACUCCUUAUUUAGAACACCACACGAUAUGGCUAUGUCAUAAGCGAAAGGGAAGGAUGGAUAGCUGUUAAUGUUUGUUUGUAUAAAUAAAUAGUAUGGUUAUUUAUUAACGGUGGUAUGACUAUUUGAAAAUGAGUUACCAGUAUAUUGCGGUCUUUAUACUAUAAUGAUACAUAGUUUUUUAUUAUUAGAGUAACAUGCUAUGUUUAUAGUCGGGAACUAGUUUUCUUAUAUGAAGGACAAAUUAGUCAGAGCUGAUGAUAAGCAUAUGUAUUACACAGACCGUUAAAAGGACUUAUGUUUAUUUACUACAAAGUAUGACUAUAAGAGUUUAAACAUUAUCAUAUUUAGUUUAGGGUAUAACACGUUUUACUUACAUGUAUAUUAUUUAAUGGCUAUACAUACACUUUUUUACUAUAUUUUUUACUUAACAACGUCUUGUGGCUAUAUCGGUUUGUACUUCCUAUUUAAUGACUACACAUAAUACUAUAACCGAUUUUAUUUAUUAAUGAAUGUAUACUAGCUGGGCUAGCACUUAAGACUCGUAUGUGCGUCAUACUUUUUUUUUUAAUAAAUGAGAAUAGCAUGUUUUGUCUCUGGUGUUAUGCCGUUCAUUCGCGAGGUCUUAUGUGGGCUGUGGUGUAUGUUUCUUAUGUUUCGGUUGCUUAAUAACGUAUUUUGAGGAUGUAGGUAUUUUAUGGUUAUUGAUAUUUAUUUGUGUUGUCAUUUCUCGUGUCAUGCCAUUUGGUGUGUUGACUUGAGAGUGUGGUAGUUUUAUAAUAUUGUUCUCGUAGAUAGAUUUUAUUUUUUUAAUUCUGGUUUUGGUUUAUUGUGUUUUACUUAUGGGUUGUGUUUAGCCUAGUGGUAUAAUAUUUUUGGGGUGGGUAUAGAGGUUUCCGUCCUUACCUGUCUGCGUUAUUUAUUUCAUCAAUGUGUUACUGAAUUGGUAUUUUUAUAACCUUUCUUGCUUUUGCUGUCAAUGGUUUUGAUUGUUUAUUUUAUUACGUCAUAUGGUUGUUUUCUCGCGAUUCCGCGUUUGUUUUAUUUUUUCCUAUUUACGUAUAGGGAUUUUUACUUUUUGCAUCAUGGUGUCUCAAUAAGCGAGUAUUAUUUCAUGGGAGUUUUCGCUGCUGAGGUUUUAUUAUGUGAUUGGCGAUUUUAUCUGCAUUGCGCUGUAUUGCGUUUGUGAGUGCUAUAUCAUUUUGAUUGUUUUUUAUUAUGUUUUAAUAGGUUUUUUUUUGUAAUUACACUUGCUUUAUGGUAUUUUUUUUGUCACAGUUAUAGUUCGGCGGUUUCAUGUAUUACUGGGCUGUGCGUUUUUAAUUGUGUUCCACGCUUAGGCUCUCCUGCAAGUUAGUAUGGAAUGUUGCGUGUCAGGGUCGAAAAACAACUUUCCCCCUUCUCGCUUUCGUCGCACGAGGACUUUGUCAACAGUUUACAGAGUGCUUACACUGUGUACAGACGUGUUUCUCUAAUGCUCCCGCUUUGUAAUAUAUUUUAUAAAUUUACUUAUCGUUAAACGCUGUCGGUUGUGCGGGUUGCUCUCCACACGGCCUAUAUAGGUGUUACUAUUUUUAAUAUAUCUUUUCGUCUGUGUUUUUAUUUUUAAUUACUCGUCGCCGGGUUGGACUGGAUGCAUUCCGGUGAGUUUUUCUUUUAUGUAUGCUUAUUUGCUUCGUGCCGCAGCUGAGCGCGUCGGUGUUCUUGUUUUUUUUUUUUCUGGGUCUUCGCCCACUCCGUGCGGUUUUUUUAUUUUAAAUAUGUUUGUUACUUAACGCUACGGCGCACGAGUGAUCGUUCAACACUCUUUCCUACACGGCCGUUCAACAUUUAUUUAAAUUUAUUUGUUACACGUCGCCGGGGUGGGCUGGGUGCAUUCCGGUGAGUUUUUCUUUUAUGUAUGCUUAUUGGUACAUGUCGCAGAGCGCUAGUAAUUUAUUUCUAGAGAUCGUGCUGCUGUCGAGCGUUCCUACAAUUUUAAAUUACUUAACGCUACGUGUUAACUGUAGGGGUCCUAACUAUGCUUAAUACAUUCCUGCUCGCCGGCGCACGAGCGAGGUUUCCAGCACGGCGUUUGUACUCGACGUAAAGUAAUAGUCUUUGUCCUAACUAUGCUUAAUACUUAACUAUGCUUAAUACUUAACUAUGCUUAAUACUUAACUAUGCUUAAUACUUAACUAUGCUUAAUACUUAACACAUUGGCAGAGAGCCAAUUACUACACAAUGUUUGUACAUUAUUUAUUUUACUUGACGUAAAAUAAUAGUCUUUGUCCUAACUAUGCUUAUUUUCUAUCUUUACGAUAUUAUAAAUUUAGCUAUGCUUAUUUUCUGUCUUUAAAAUAUUAUAAAUUUUAACUAUGCUUAUGCCAUUGGCAGAGAGCCGGUGCUACCACUAAAGCAUUUCCACACACAGUGUUAUUUUAAAGACAUUAUUAUGCUUAUAAUAUGAUGGGAUUAUAAUUGCGCAGUUUAUGAGUGACGCUCCAGCAGACAACAUCUCGCUCUCUCUGCGCGGGGUUUUGAGGUUAUGUUGCGCUCUAUUUAGUCAUAGCUAGUAUGGCGGGGCUUUUAAGCAUAGGGUAAAUGGUUUAUUUUGAAAUUUUAAAAUAUGGCGGUUGGAAAUAAAAUAUGGCGGUAAUUGCUUUUAGCAUAAUGGUGUGGGGUUUCUUUUAGGCAUACUUGGGAUGGGUGUUUGCUUUAAGCAUACACCAUGGCGGAAUUUUAUUUCUUUUUCGAAAUUUAAAUAUGGUGGUUUAAUUAUUUUUUUUUUUGGAAUUUAAAUAUGACGGUUUAGGCAUAGCUAGUAUGGCGGGGGUUAUUUUAGGCAUACUUGGGGUGGGGGUGGGUGUUUUACGCAUACAACAUGGCGGUUUAAGCAUAACGGUUAAUGUUUUUUUUUUUUUGAAAAUUUAAACAUGAUGGUUUAGGCAUAGCUAGUAUGGCAGGGAUUUUAAUUCCUAACUAUGCUUAAUACUUAACUAUGCUUAUUACUUAACACACUGAUAGAGAGCCAAUUACUAUGCAAUGUUUGUACAAUAUUUAUUUUACUUGACGUAAAAUAAUAGUCUUUGUCCUAACUAUGCUUAAUACAUUUAUAUGCUUAUUCAUGCUAUCGCUAUGGCAUAUUUUAUCUCUCUCUGGUCCCGUACUAUUGUACGGUGAUCUAUAUUUUUAACUAUGCUUAUUACAGUUGUUUAUUUUACACUAUGCUUAUUACUUGGCGUGUUGCACAAGUGCUACCACUAAAGCAUAUUUUACAUUACUUUUUUUUUCUUUCUGGACAAGUACUAUAAGAUGGCUUGAGGUUUCUUUUUUGUUCUCACUUUACAUUAUGUCCUCGCGGCGACAACAUGGUGGUCGCUCUCUGUGUGUGGUUUUUGAGGUUAUGUUGCGCUCCAUUCAGUCAUAGCUAGUAUGGCGGGGAUUUUAAGCAUAGCGGCAAAUGUUUUAGACAUAGCUAGUAUGGCGGCGUUUGUGGAGUGGUGUGGUUUAUAGACAUAGCUAGUAUGGUUGCAUUAUUUAAGCAUAUUUUUUUCGAAAUUUAAACAUGGUGGUUAAGCAUAGCGGUUCGAACUUUAACUAUGGCGGGUUAAGCAUAGCAGUUGGAAAUUUUAAACAUGGCGGCAAUUGUGGAGUGGUGGGGUGUGUGUGUGAUUUUUAAGCAUACAUCAUGGCAGAUUUUUUUUUUUGAAAUUUAAAGACAUGGUGGUUGUGGAUGGUGGGGGUUUAUAGACACAUAUUUUUUUUUGAAGUUUAACAACAUGUUGGUUGCUUAUUUUAAGCAUAUUUUUUGUAAUUAAAAAAAAACAUGGUGGCAUAUGUACGUUAUUUAAUUCCCCAUACUUCAUCUGGUCCUGUGGUCUAGUGGUCAAGGUGUCUGCCUCCUAACCACGACGUUUGUGCGUCCCACGGAUCGAAUCCCCACGCCGCCCAGAAUUUUUUGUAUACAAUUCCCGCCUUCGGAGCGACAGUGGCGCGCUCCGGUAACUAAAGGCUGAUCUAAUAUGGCGGCCUCCAGCAGACGGAAAAAAGAUGGCGGCCCCCAGUGGCUGCGACGGUGGCGCGCCCUGGUAGCCAAUGUCAACAACAAUGGCGGCCCCCACGAGACAAGAUGGCGGCCUCCAUGAAACAAGAUGGCGGCCCCCAGGCUAGUACUGGCGCAAUGUUUACAUUUCAAUGUUUACAUCGUUCCAGUAACAGCCUGCCACUCCUACUAAUACAGUCAAAUGCCUUUGACAAAUCACAAAACAGCCCUACUACAUAAUCUUUAUUGUCUCAGACAUUCAAUAUUGUAGAAGUAAGUUUAAAUUGAGGGCGUACCGGUGUUAAAGUUUGAAUACUGGUGGAAAAUAAUGGGCGCCACCACGUGAGUGAGCACGUGGACCCGGCUUGAAACUCUAACUCAGGGCAUUACGUGGUCUGUGUGCGGCGGGAUAUUAGCCCUCCUGAUUUUAAAUGCAACACCUGUUCCUAACCACACCUGCUCUCAGCGUCGGGCACGCUUCUUAUUAAACGCAGUGGGCUCUUAGGGCGUCCCACACGCCGCUGACUGGUUAAGGACCAACGUGCCCCCCCCCCCCCCCCCCCCCCCCCCGAAAACAAAGACACGUCACUCAAUUAAGUUGGUUUUUAUUUACUCACGUUACACGCCCUUACACAAUCCUUCCAUGAUACUGUUAUAAAACGCCCAAGGCACAAAUCGAUUUAGGUUAGGAGGCGAACCACGCACGUGGUCGCCUCAAGCCGUUUCUUAAUACAGGGAUGAACAAAAACUCCGGAGAGUAAAGAAUUUUUAAUUAAGCAGUCUCCGACCUAGAGAGGAUAUAAAGAAAACGAUUUGAAUAAAUUGCUUAACAGAACUACUCGGUGAAACAACAGUGAUGUCCUCGGGGUGUCUGCAGAGACGUCCGCUCUUGGCCGGCUGAAGAAGGAGACUGGGCUGAGACAAGGGCUUGCGGCAGGCAACAUGGCGCCCUUCGCGCCGAACACCAUUACCGUUAACAUCUUAGCUAUUGCGUGCCCCGGGUUAUUAUUGAAAAUAACAUGAACUCUUUAUAAAAAUUAGCACAUCACACCCAUGACCAGACCGUCUGUAAUUAUUACUUAUGUGGUAGAAAAUAGUUUAUAUCAAGUUAUAUGCUAGUUCCUCCGUCGCCCGCUAGGGAGCGUCCUUGUCCGUGCUUGCACGUAUUUUAUUACAAAAACAACAAAUUAAUGAAACAAAAGGCACUCACAUAAUCGUCGUGACACUAUUUUGGGGCGAAACGAAAAGGGUUACAAUAAUAUUAUUAUUACAAAUAGGGGUUCGGCGCACUACAGCUAUGUGCCCUCUUGCCGGGCUACCAACACACGCGCACAUGCAUGCACAAGUGGGAGGUUUGAACAGAGAUGGUGGUGUUUGGGCGGUGGCAUAUCGGGCUCAAAGGGGCCGCAGGCCCGGACGACGUCAAAAUGUUGCAUCAUUAGUGGAUAAUUUACUUCGGAAACCAUACUGAGAAUCAGUUAAAAUACCAUAAAACUGUAAGUGUUUAUUUAAUCUUGUAUGUAGGUAUUACCUUUUCCAAUAUUUUGUCAAAUGUUGAUAAUAGAGAAAUAGGCCAUGUAUUUUUCAAUUUUUUUUCUAUUGCCCUUUUUAAAUAAAGGUUUAACAAUAGCAACCUUUAAUCUAUCUGGAAAGUCACCCUGUUCUAACAUACUAUUACAUAUAUGACUCAAAGGGCUCGAAAUAUAAAAUUUACAUUGCUUUAAUAAUGUACUACUAAUUUGAUCGAAACCCGAAGAAUGAGAUGUUUUUAAUGAGUUUAUAAUAUAUACUGACGAGAGUUGUCGUACCCUCCUAGAUGCAGAGGCCGUACCUGUCCGCCGACGUGGGCCUAAGGGAGAUAUGCUUUCCCCCCUGUGCACUGACUGUGAAGUGCUACGAACAGGGACGCACUCGCGUGCGCCCUGGCACGUCAGCGGACGUCAGAAUGUUGUAUAUAAUUAUGUUUUAUGCCUUUUCUUUAAGUGACCACGAGCCUCCACGAGUGUGUAAAUAUUGUACAAAUACUUCGCCUAUCAAUAAUCCGUUAUUCAUUUAUCAAUUGGUGUUUUGUUUUAUUAAUUAAUUACUGGUCAUGUCUUUUCUUAAUAAUUAUGUGUUUAUGCUAGUGUUAUGUCAGCUAUGUAACUGCAGCCUGGCGCACCGCGAGGCGGGCUGAUCCCACGCCGGCUGAUUUCCCCUCCCCUCCUCCGCGGCCCGCGGGUCACGGCCCGCUAGCGGGCGGGGGAGGGCAGUGGCGAACCAGACGCGAGAGCGAGCAGACGUGCGCUCCGUUCGGGAGACGCGUUUCUGCAUUCGGAGUUCGCAGUCAAUGACAACGUCACGGGACGGUCUCGGCAGCCGAGCUGCUAUUAUCCGCAUUCGUUAUACCGCUGGAUUUCUCUCAGUUUUACGGAUCUUUUCGGGACUGUAGCUGCAUACGUCAUAGCCCUUGUAAUUGCCUUUCGAACCGCUGAACUCUCUUGGUCAGUACGCUUAUUUACUGGACCCUCAUCCGCAUACGUGACGGGCCGCGUGCGCGCUGUAUAUCAACCCAGAACUUUCGUAACCAGUACGAUUCACCCCAGAGUUACCUUCUCUGUCGUUUCGGGUCACAUCUUGAGGACGAGACUUAUUUCCGGGAGUCCGGGAGUCCGGGAGUCCGGGUCGCGGCGGGGAGGACGUUCGUUCCGCGAAGUGCUGGCCAGGCUGCGGCAGGAUUUUCUUUAUGGAAUAAAAAGAAUCUCGUGAAAACGGA